UCACACUAUCGUUAACUGAAUACAUAGGUUAACGAGGCGAACCGGGGGAACUGAAACAUCUAAGUACCCCGAGGAAAAGAAAUCAACCGAGAUUCCCCCAGUAGCGGCGAGCGAACGGGGAGCAGCCCAGAGUCUGAAUCAGCUUGUGUGUUAGUGGAACGGUCUGGAAAGUCCGACGGUACAGGGUGAUAGUCCCGUACACCAAAAUGCACAGGUUGUGAACUCGAAGAGUAGGGCGGGACACGUGGUAUCCUGUCUGAAUAUGGGGGGACCAUCCUCCAAGGCUAAAUACUCCUGACUGACCGAUAGUGAACCAGUACCGUGAGGGAAAGGCGAAAAGAACCCCGGCGAGGGGAGUGAAAAAGAACCUGAAACCGUGUACGUACAAGCAGUGGGAGCACCUUCGGGUGUGACUGCGUACCUUUUGUAUAAUGGGUCAGCGACUUAUAUUCUGUAGCAAGGUUAACCGUAUAGGGGAGCCGCAGGGAAACCGAGUCUUAACUGGGCGUUAAGUUGCAGGGUAUAGACCCGAAACCCGGUGAUCUAGCCAUGGGCAGGUUGAAGGUUGGGUAACACUAACUGGAGGACCGAACCGACUAAUGUUGAAAAAUUAGCGGAUGACUUGUGGCUGGGGGUGAAAGGCCAAUCAAACCGGGAGAUAGCUGGUUCUCCCCGAAAGCUAUUUAGGUAGCGCCUCGUGAAUUCAUCUUCGGGGGUAGAGCACUGUUUCGGCUAGGGGGUCAUCCCGACUUACCAACCCGAUGCAAACUACGAAUACCGAAGAAUGUUAUCACGGGAGACACACGGCGGGUGCUAACGUCCGUCGUGAAGAGGGAAACAACCCAGACCGCCAGCUAAGGUCCCAAAGUCAUGGUUAAGUGGGAAACGAUGUGGGAAGGCACAGACAGCCAGGAUGUUGGCUUAGAAGCAGCCAUCAUUUAAAGAAAGCGUAAUAGCUCACUGGUCGAGUCGGCCUGCGCGGAAGAUGUAACGGGGCUAAACCAUGCACCGAAGCUGCGGCAGCGACACUAUGUGUUGUUGGGUAGGGGAGCGUUCUGUAAGCCUGCGAAGGUGACCUGUGAGGGUUGCUGGAGGUAUCAGAAGUGCGAAUGCUGACAUAAGUAACGAUAAAGCGGGUGAAAAGCCCGCUCGCCGGAAGACCAAGGGUUCCUGUCCAACGUUAAUCGGGGCAGGGUGAGUCGACCCCUAAGGCGAGGCCGAAAGGCGUAGUCGAUGGGAAACAGGUUAAUAUUCCUGUACUUGGUGUUACUGCGAAGGGGGGACGGAGAAGGCUAUGUUAGCCGGGCGACGGUUGUCCCGGUUUAAGCAUGUAGGCUGAUUAUCCAGGCAAAUCCGGAUAAUCAAGGCUGAGGUGUGAUGACGAGGCACCACGGUGCUGAAGUAACAAAUGCCCUGCUUCCAGGAAAAGCCUCUAAGCAUCAGGUAACAUCAAAUCGUACCCCAAACCGACACAGGUGGUCAGGUAGAGAAUACCAAGGCGCUUGAGAGAACUCGGGUGAAGGAACUAGGCAAAAUGGUGCCGUAACUUCGGGAGAAGGCACGCUGGUGUGUAGGUGAAGUCCCUGCGGAUGGAGCUGAGACCAGUCGAAGAUACCAGCUGGCUGCAACUGUUUAUUAAAAACACAGCACUGUGCAAACACGAAAGUGGACGUAUACGGUGUGACGCCUGCCCGGUGCCGGAAGGUUAAUUGAUGGGGUUAUCCGUAAGGAGAAGCUCUUGAUCGAAGCCCCGGUAAACGGCGGCCGUAACUAUAACGGUCCUAAGGUAGCGAAAUUCCUUGUCGGGUAAGUUCCGACCUGCACGAAUGGCGUAAUGAUGGCCAGGCUGUCUCCACCCGAGACUCAGUGAAAUUGAACUCGCUGUGAAGAUGCAGUGUACCCGCGGCAAGACGGAAAGACCCCGUGAACCUUUACUAUAGCUUGACACUGAACAUUGAGCCUUGAUGUGUAGGAUAGGUGGGAGGCUUUGAAGCGUGGACGCCAGUCUGCGUGGAGCCAACCUUGAAAUACCACCCUUUAAUGUUUGAUGUUCUAACGUUGGCCCCUUACCGGGGUUGCGGACAGUGUCUGGUGGGUAGUUUGACUGGGGCGGUCUCCUCCCAAAGCGUAACGGAGGAGCACGAAGGUUAGCUAAUCCUGGUCGGACAUCAGGAGGUUAGUGCAAUGGCAUAAGCUAGCUUGACUGCGAGCGUGACGGCGCGAGCAGGUGCGAAAGCAGGUCAUAGUGAUCCGGUGGUUCUGAAUGGAAGGGCCAUCGCUCAACGGAUAAAAGGUACUCCGGGGAUAACAGGCUGAUACCGCCCAAGAGUUCAUAUCGACGGCGGUGUUUGGCACCUCGAUGUCGGCUCAUCACAUCCUGGGGCUGAAGUAGGUCCCAAGGGUAUGGCUGUUCGCCAUUUAAAGUGGUACGCGAGCUGGGUUUAGAACGUCGUGAGACAGUUCGGUCCCUAUCUGCCGUGGGCGCUGGAGAAUUGAGGGGGGCUGCUCCUAGUACGAGAGGACCGGAGUGGACGCAUCACUGGUGUUCGGGUUGUCAUGCCAAUGGCACUGCCCGGUAGCUAAAUGCGGAAGAGAUAAGUGCUGAAAGCAUCUAAGCACGAAACUUGCCCCGAGAUGAGUUCUCCCUGAGACUUUAAGUCUCCUGAAGGAACGUUGAAGACGACGACGUUGAUAGGCCGGGUGUGUAAGCGCAGCGAUGCGUUGAGCUAACCGGUACUAAUGAACCGUGAGGCUUAACCUU
rnacentral:rRNA from 1 species